rnacentral:rRNA from 1 species
AGUGAACGCUGGCGGUAGGCCUAACACAUGCAAGUCGAACGGCAGCACAGUAAGAGCUUGCUCUUACGGGUGGCGAGUGGCGGACGGGUGAGGAAUACGUCGGAAUCUACUUUUUCGUGGGGGAUAACGUAGGGAAACUUACGCUAAUACCGCAUACGACCUACGGGUGAAAGCAGGGGAUCUUCGGACCUUGCGCGAUUGAAUGAGCCGAUGUCGGAUUAGCUAGUUGGCGGGGUAAAGGCCCACCAAGGCGACGAUCCGUAGCUGGUCUGAGAGGAUGAUCAGCCACACUGGAACUGAGACACGGUCCAGACUCCUACGGGAGGCAGCAGUGGGGAAUAUUGGACAAUGGGCGCAAGCCUGAUCCAGCCAUACCGCGUGGGUGAAGAAGGCCUUCGGGUUGUAAAGCCCUUUUGUUGGGAAAGAAAAGCAGCGGGUUAAUACCCCGCUGUUCUGACGGUACCCAAAGAAUAAGCACCGGCUAACUUCGUG